UACGUAGGGGGCGAGCGUUGUCCGGAAUUAUUGGGCGUAAAGGGCGCGUAGGCGGAUACUUAAGUCUGGUGUGAAACCCCGGGGCUCAACCCCGGGCUUGCAUUGGAAACUGGGUAUCUUGAGUUCAGGAGAGGAAAGUGGAAUUCCACGUGUAGCGGUGAAAUGCGUAGAGAUGUGGAGGAACACCAGUGGCGAAGGCGACUUUCUGGCCUGCAACUGACGCUGAUGCGCGAAAGCGUGGGGAGCAAACAGG
rnacentral:rRNA from 1 species